UACGGAGGGUGCAAGCGUUAUCCGGAUUCACUGGGUUUAAAGGGUGCGUAGGAGGGCAGGUAAGUCAGUGGUGAAAUCUCCGGGCUCAACUCGGAAACUGCCGUUGAUACUAUCUGUCUUGAAUAUCGUGGAGGUGAGUGGAAUAUGUCAUGUAGCGGUGAAAUGCUUAGAUAUGACAUAGAACACCAAUUGCGAGGGCAGCUCACUACACGUAUAUUGACUCUGAGGCACGAAAGCGUGGGGAUCAAACAGG
rnacentral:rRNA from 1 species